rfam:Gossypium raimondii Chr02_contig_1339, whole genome shotgun sequence.
AAUAGUUUAAUGCCAUGUCAGCAUUUUCAUCCUGAAUUUCAGCAUUUAAAUAAAUCAAAUCCAAAUCCAAAUGAAAAUCCUGAAAUUCAGAAUAAAAUUACUGAUGUGGCAUUACACUAUU